rnacentral:rRNA from 1 species
AACGAACGCUGGCGGCAGGCUUAACACAUGCAAGUCGAACGCCCCGCAAGGGGAGUGGCAGACGGGUGAGUAACACGUGGGAACGUGCCCUUCGCUUCGGGAUAGCCUCGGGAAACUGGGAGUAAUACCGAAUACGCCGUAUUGGGAAAGAUUUAUCGGCGAAGGAUCGGCCCGCGUUGGAUUAGCUAGUUGGCGGUGUAAUGGACCACCAAGGCUACGAUCCAUAGCUGGUCUGAGAGGACGACCAGCCACACUGGGACUGAGACACGGCCCAGACUCCUACGGGAGGCAGCAGUGGGGAAUCUUGGACAAUGGGCGCAAGCCUGAUCCAGCCAUGCCGCGUGAGUGAAGAAGGCCUUAGGGUUGUAAAACUCUUUCGCAGGGGAAGAAUAAAGCAUCGGUAUAAUACGCCGGUGCCCUGACGGUACCCUGCAAGAAAGCACCGGCUAACUCCGUGCCAGCAGCCGCGGUAAU